AGUCGAGCGGGGGUAGCAAUACCCUAGCGGCGAACGGUCGCGUAACACGUAAGCAACCUGCCCCGAAGACCGGGACAACAGCUCGAAAGGGCUGCUAAUACCGGAUGUGGCCACCGGAAGGCAUCUUCUGGUGAUUAAACCGAGUAAUCGGCUUCGGGAGGGGCUUGCGGCCUAUCAGCUAGUUGGUGGGGUAACGGCCUACCAAGGCGACGACGGGUAGCUGGUCUGAGAGGACGGCCAGCCGGACUGGGACUGAGAUACGGCCCAGACUCCUACGGGGGGCAGCAAUUAGGAAUCUUGCGCAAUGGGCGAAAGCCUGACGCAGCGACGCCGCGUGGAGGAGGAAGUCCUUCGGGAUGUAAACUCCUUUUUCCGGGGAAGAAACAAAUGACGGUACCCGGUGAAUAAGCCCCGGCUAACUACGUGCCAGCAGCCGCGGUAAUACGUAGGGGGCGAGCGUUGUCCGAAGUUACUGGGCGUAAAGCGCGCGUAGGCGGGGAAUUAAGUGAGAGGUGAAAGGCUGGGGCUCAACCUCAGUAGUGCCUCUCAUACUGGUUCUCUUGAGGGCGGUAGGGAGAAGUGGAAUGGCUGGUGUAGCGGUGAAAUGCGUAGAUAUCAGUCGGAACACCGGUGGCGAAGGCGGCUUCUUGG
rnacentral:rRNA from 1 species